rnacentral:lncRNA from 1 species
CGUACCCAAUGCCUUCCAAAUUAACCCUAAUUUUCUGUGUCAAAAAGAGACAAGUACAACACAUUUUCUUCACCCCUCUACGAUUUACAAUGGCUUUCUUUAAUACGAGUGAAGGUGCUCAUUUUUUGCUCGUUGUUUAGAGCUUGCACUGCACUCGGAGAUAAUAGAGAAGAUAAAGAGUUGCCUACUUUCUGGGACAUUUUCAGUAGAAAUUCACAAGUGCUAUAAUAAAACUUUAAGCUUUUCAACUGUUCUUCAUUUUAACGAACUCAUCAGCCAAUGAAAAAUUAAGCACAGAAAUGGAGUCGACCUUGAAGGUUACUUUCCACUCUUAAAUUUCUACAUUUUUAAUUUCUCUACUUUUUUUUUUUUCUCUAAGGUUUUUAACUAUUUUAUUAUUUUUAGUACAGAAAUGUUUUGAGUUUUCUCCUUCCUCUGGCGAUGAUCCCUCUGAUGAUGAUGCCAAAUAGGAAACGUGUCACAUGAGGAGCUCAAACGGGUUUGACAAAAACUCACACAAUUUUUUUUUUUUGUGCUUUUAAAAUUUUGGAUAAACAUGUUAGGGAUUAAACUUCAAGUUUUAGAAAAGCUUUCUCAAGUAAAAAUUAGAUAUACAACAACGCUGUGGCCCAUAAUUUUCUUUUUUAGUUUGAUUUUUGGAAGCCAUUUUUAGUUUUUUAUAUGGAGUUCAAUUCAGGUAUGUUGAUUUGUUAUGGUGUUCUGAAUCUUGAUUGAGUGAACUGGAUUUUCUAUUUUCUCGAUUUUCUUUAAGUCAUUUGAUUGGUGUCGAUUAAUUUGUGAGCUAGAUUCUUUAUAGGAUUUUACUCCUUGCACAGGGCCCUGUGCACAGGGCCUGAGAACUGGAUUUUCUAUUUUCUCGAUUUUCUUUAAGUCAUUUGAUUGGUGUCGAUUAAUUUGUGUGCUAGAUUCUUUAUAGGAUUCUUUAUUGGUUUGAUUUUCAAUUAUUGGGAUUUUUCGGGUUUUGGGUUUUAGCUCCCGAAAAUGAAAAUGAAGGGAGUAGUAUUUUUUAGAAAAAUGAGUAGUUGAAAAAAGGGAAAAUUUUUCGAUUUAUGUGUAAUAUUAUAUUGUGGAAGAUUACGUGGUUGAAAAUAGGAGAGAAAAAUGGAAUUUAAUGUAAUUGAAUUUAAUGGGAAUCAAAUAGUUCCAUGACCAUCUCUUUCAAUUAACUUUUACGGGCUUCUUUAUAUUUUUAUUAUGCAUAAUUUUUUCUUUUGAAAUUGAUUUUUUCUGUUUUCAAAUUUAUUUGUUCUUUUUCUAAAUUUAGAUUGUUAUUCAUGAAUUUUUGUGGCAUUCCCUUACAAUUCAAGGUUUCCCAAUUUCAAAAACUAUGAUGUGACUUGAACGACUAUUACUUUUAUUGCUUAUGAAUUGUGCUUAAUCUCAUUCUAUUAUCAUCAUAAAUUUAUUCCUUUUUUAUUGUUUUGUGAUUUUCCAUGAACAUUCCACUUUUUCUAAGUAUGCUAAAUUCAUCAUGAUUUGUUCAUGUUAAAUUUAUGGAUCUUGUUGUAUCUGUUUCUUAUGUCUUUUGGCAGAGAAAACGUGGGAAUAUAGUUUUGAUGAUGAAAUAGAAUUGAGUUACUAUUACAAUAUUAUUAAACUAUUGCUUUAAGAACUGUCUUUUAACAAUGAGAGGGAAUUUUGGCCUUCUCCUAUUCAAAAACUAAUAUUUUAUCAUCCAUAAAGUUAUACGAGGAUUCGUUGUCUUUUCGGCUCUUUCGAAUGCAAGGAUAUGAUAUAAAUCCAAGUAGAAUUUCGAAAUCGUUACUUUAUUCACACAUUUUAUUGCUUGUACAUAGUGUACUGACUUAAAUUUUGUAUAUGUUUAGGGAACAUUAAUUGGUUUCUGAAGCAUGCAAAAAUUCUGAAGCAUAUGAGAAGAAAACUAUGGUCAAUUGAGGCUCGUGUUAGAAGUUGUACAAUUUUGUUUCUUGCCAUCACUCAUUCUUACUGCGAUGGUUAAAUAUUUUACUUCCAGUUUCUGCUUGAAAUAAUUAGGCGCUACUCAUCAAGCAAUUGUAGUUACUGUGAAUGAAGCACGUUGUUUGUACAUUUGGG